rnacentral:rRNA from 2 species
GACUAAGCGUACACGGUGGAUGCCCUGGCAGUCAGAGGCGAUGAAGGACGUGCUAAUCUGCGAAAAGCGUCGGUAAGGUGAUAUGAACCGUUAUAGCCGGCGAUGUCCGAAUGGGGAAACCCAGUGCAAUUCGUUGCACUAUCGUUAACUGAAUACAUAGGUUAACGAGGCGAACCGGGGGAACUGAAACAUCUAAGUACCCCGAGGAAAAGAAAUCAACC